rnacentral:lncRNA from 1 species
UGGGCUUCUGAGCCACCGAGAGCUCACAGGACUGGAUCUGACAUUCCUGAUGCAUCACACCGGAACCCUCUUCCUGCAGAUACUGUAAUCUGUCCUGUCCUUGAUGAUCUGAUUCCAUGCCAUCUGUCCAACUUCAACUCCAACACUCACCCUCAGGUAUCUUAUGCUGCUGCAGAAACAGACUGCUUGCCAUUUCCUGAGAGCACCAUACUUCUUUAAACAUUCAUCCUUUUACCUGCCAUGCCCCUGCCCCUCUUCACUACCUGGCCUACCUAUAUUACAAUUUCUAAGAAAAUUAGCUGACUUCCUCAGGCAGAAAAAAAUUGAUUUAUAUUCUUGCAUAACAUUCUGUCCCUAAAAAUACCAUUCGACUGAAUUAUAAUAAGCUGUUUAACUAUCUAUCAUCUUCAAAAGGCCUGGAGUUCCCUGAGGAACUCUCUAAUUACUUUAUCCCUAGCAUCUCCAUGGUGCUUGGCACCAGGAGGGCAUUCAGUCAAUGUUUGUGGAUUUCAAAAUGCAAGUUUUUAUAGACUGCCUCCCAGAACCUGGGCUCUAGGGGCCAAUUCUCCCCUUUAUCUGGGCCUCUUUCUGAGGAGGACAAAGCUGAACAGGUCUGGCUAGGUACUCAGAAAAGAGCUGCUCAGGUAGUGGUUAACACCACUCAGUCCAAUUCUAUUCUAGAAGCAUUCUUCCACCCACAUUCUUAUUAGAAUCAUACGAAUAAGGAAUGCUACCUAAGGAGGUCCUUUGGUCAUUCAGACCCCCGGCUCCCCUGCAGGUCCACUUCCUUCCUGCCUUAUCAGAUUUCUCUAUAUUCCUGGUAGACCCUCAGCAUGCCGUGGCCAUCCCUACCUCCCUAUGCUGGUCCAUGUGGAGCCUCCCUGAAAUCUCAAUGAUCCCUGCGUUUUCAGUUUUUAACCCAGAAUCAGCUGUCUCAUCCCCAGAGAACAACACCCAGCAUCUUCUGUUUGGUGUCCCUAUCCUGAGGAACCUCUUCCCCUAGGACUAGAUGUGCUGACAUGCAAGAAUGCUAUUCAAACCACAUGGAUCUUUUACAUAACAAGAUGCAAAAGAGGUUUGUACCACAUGAAUCUCACUGAGUCUGGAACACAUAAUUUCCCUGGAUUUCACACAUUAGAAAUAAUUGGGUGUAUAAAACAUAUGAAUUCACAUCACAAUCUGAGUCCAUUUGUCUCCCCAAACCUGUUUCACUUCAACUUUCUUUGUGAAUAAUUUUUUCCCCAUUUUCACCUAUUACCCUAGGCAAAGCUGAGAGGUUCACAGCCCUUAGAUGAAUUUGCUGCCUAAGCAGACUCAAAGCCAACUUAGAAGUCUUAAACAACAAAUUUUUGGCCACUAAAGUUUUAAAUGGUCCUGAAGUAGAGACUAGAGAAAAAAUUCACUAAUCAUUAUUGACAGUGAAGUGACUUUCCUUCUUUAAUGGGAAAGAAAUGAUUGGCAUGAAGCAACUUUGUUUCUCAGUGACUCGCUAGAGAAUUAAAUAACUGAAGCAUCAAACAACAAUUUUCUUUGAAGAUGACCUUUUUCAUAUUAAAUGAAAAGCUGAAGAGCUAGUCUCAAAGGAAAAGUAAAUGAAUAAUCUGUGAGGGCAACUAUUCCUUCCUGAGUAGACAGUUAAAAAAGAGAGAGAGAGAGGGAGACUAAAAUAUAAUAGUAAACAUCACAGACUGUUGCAUUACAAAUUAAGUGCAUCUUCCAUUUUCAGGGUAACACUGAGAGUCUACCACGAAUCAGACACUAGAAUAGGAGCUCUUCAAGAUGGUUAUCAAAAAACUUAAACACUCAUCAACAUAAUUUAAAUAGUUGUUUUCUAACGUAGCAGACAUCAGGGUCACAUGGAGGGCUUUCAAAAUACAUCACUGGGCUCCAUCCCUAGUGUUUCUGAUUCUGUAGGUCUUGAUCCAGGAGAAUUUGCAUUUCUUUUUGUUUGUUUGUUUUGUUUUUUUCUUUUACUUUAAGUUCUGGGAUACAUGUGUAGAACGUGCAAGUUUGUUAUAUAAGUAUACAUGUGCCAUGGUGAUUUGCUGCACCUAUAGACCCAUCAUCUAGGUUUUAAGCCCCGCAUGCAUUAGGUAUUUGCCCUAAUGCUCUCCCACACUUUGUCCUCCAACCUCCAACAGGCCCCAGUGUGUGAUGUUCCCCUCCCUGUGUCCAUGUGUUUUCAUUGUUCAACUCCCACUUAUGAGUGAGAACAUGUGGUGUUUGGUUUUCUGUUCUUGUGUUAGUUUGCUGAGAAUGAUGACUUCCAGCUUCAUCCAUGUCCCUGCAAAGGACAUGAUCGCAUUCUUUUCUAUGGCUGCAUAGUAUUCCAUGGUUUAUAUAUGCCACAUUUUCUUUAUCCAGUCUAUCACUGAUGGGCAUUUGGGAUGGUUCAAAGUCUUUGUUAUUGUAAAUAGUGCUGCAAUAAACAUACGUGUACGUAUGUCUUUAUAGUAGAAUGAUUUAUAAUCCUUUGGGUAUAUACCUAGUAAUGGGAUUGCUGGGUCAAAUGGUAUUUCUGCUUCUAGAUCCUUGAGGAAUUGCCACACUGUCUUCCACAAUGGUUGAACUAAUUUACACUCCCACCAACAGUGUAAAGUGUUUCUAUUUCUCCACAGCCUUGCCAUCAUCUAUUGUUUCCUGACUUUUAAUAAUCAUCAUUCUGACUGGCGUGAGAUGGUAUCUCAUUGUGGUUUUGAUUUGCAUUUCUCUAAUGACCAGUGAUGAUGAGCCAUAUGCAGAAAACAGAAACUGGACCCCUUCCUUACUCCUUAUACAAAAAUUAACUCAAGAUGGAUUGAAGACUUAAAUGUAAAACCCAAAACCAUAGAAACCCUGGAAGAAAACCUAGGCAAUACCAUUCAGGACAUAGGCAUGGCCAAAGACUUCAUGACUAAAACACCGAAAGCAAUUGCAACAAUAACCAACAUUGACAAAUGAGAUCUAAUUAAACUAAAGAGCUUCUGCACAGCAAAAGAAACUAUCAUCAGAGUGAAAUGGCAACCUACAGAAUGGGAGAAAAUUUUUGCAAUCUACCCAUCUGAUAAAGGUCUAAUAUCUAGAAUCUACAAGGAACUUAAACAAAUUUACAAGAAAAAACAAACAACCCCAUCAAAAAGUGGGUGAAGGAUAUGAACAGACACUUCUCGAAGACAUGUAGGCAGCCAACAAAAAUCUGAGAAUUUGAAUUUCUAACAAGUUCCUGGGUAAUGCUACUGGUCUGCAGACUGCACUCUGAGAACAGCUGCAAGAUGAGGCACACUGACACAAAAUAAUUAAAAAAACAGGAAUUUCUAACCACUUACAAUGACCAAAUGUGAGAUGCAUAGAUUCUGAAAUGAUUAUCUGGGGAAUUGUAAACUCCAGCCAUGCUGUCCACCAUCUUGGGGCUUUUCAGAGAAUAUAGCCAAAGGCAAUAUGCCUGAAAUGUGGGUACUUUUGACAUUGGAUUUGCCAACAGGUCUUUUCUCCAUGAGGACCUCAGCACCCAACAUCUCCCCUCCCAGGUUCAACCUCAGACUAGUUACAAAGCUCCAAAAUGCGAAUGUCAAUGAAGUUGUCUAACUAUUUAAAGGCUAGGAAUGCACAUAUAAAGCAGUCACAAAAUAGUUUUACUUUUCUAAAUAAAAUAAUUGAGUAUCAUCCUUUUGUUAAGUACCUGCUCUUUACUAAAAUUUCAUGAUCUCAUUUUAAAACUUUACCCCUCUGGGCUAAAAAUCAGUGCAGAAGAUGAGAUGCUAUAACCUUUGAUUUAGCCUAAUAAAACAGUAACAAAUAACAUAUUGAGUGGGUGGUUAAAUCUGAUAAUAUUUUGUGCUGAAUUUUCUGUAGUAAUUCAAUUAAAAAUCCUAUUGGCCAGCCACCAGAAAGUAUACAGAUCACCAAAGUUUUAUAGCAUUCCAUAUUUAUUCUUAAAAUAGCCUAUAUUAAUUUGGUGCCUUUACUUACUAACUUAAAUACCUCAAGUAGAGUUUCUUCCAAAUAUAAUUUAGAAUAACCAUUUAUAUUUGUGCUGUUUAAAAAUCUCUGUUGGCUCAUGCCACUGCAGUCCUUAAAAUUCCCAUUAAAGAGAGAAAAAAACUAAUUAGAAAGAGAAUAUAUUACAAAAGCUGUAUUAAUAUGACCCCCACAAUAUUUCUUAAAGCUUCUGAAGAACCAAUUUACUCUGGCUCCUCUAUGCUUUCCUUCAAUUAGUAGGGCCCCCAGAAAAGCAAAAUUGCCACUCAAAGAAAGCUGAAGCCAUUCAGAAUCACUGAAUUGUUUGGUUGCAUUUAAUCCUGCCAGGGUUCCUAGCCAAGGAGUCAAUGAUCCUAGGCUCUCUUCAUGCCUUUUCCAAUGACAGCCUUGAAGCAUUCCAGAAAACUUUAGCACUUCCUUUUUUAACCAAAAAUUGCACAUAACUCUCCCAAAUUCUUAGUCUAUAAUUUCUCAUAAAACUCUUUGAGAUCCUCUUGUGAAGACAAAUGGCAAGGAUUAUUGGACUUUAAAUUGUGAUCCUUCAAUAUUAUAUGCACUAGAUCAUAACUCUAUGGCUUUGGUUCCCUCAUAAAACUAAACCACAGAGUCAUUCUUUUCAUUUCAAGCUUAACAGCACACAGGCCCAUGGGUGAAGCAAUAUAAACACUCUGGAGUAAUUUCUCAAAACCAAAUCUCUUCUCAAAAACAGACUAGCAACUCAGUGGUGUGUAAUCUCUCCUCUGAACCUGUGAAGUUUGUAGUUCUCAGGCCACCCAAGUAGAAUAAUGAGAAUAAUGUUCAUGUGUUAACGUGGGGCAGGCCUAAGAAUUUUCUGUAAUUACAGAACUGGGGGUUAGAACCAGUUCUACCAUUCUGUUGCCCCAGAUAAGUCACCAAGUCAGGUGAUUCCUUUUGGGGGAGAAAAGUGAAGUCUCAGGUUUACAGAUUUUUAUUUUUUACCUUAGUUCACAGAAUUUGUUUAAUCGAAAUCACUGGUUUAUGACACGCUCUGGCCAUUGGUCCAUGCAUGGCCCUCUUUUUUAAUUUAUUACUUUAAAUUGGCAUUUUUAACACACAUACUCUAAGGUAUAUAGCUGAGAAAAAAUUUUGCAAAAUAUGCACUGAAGUAUUCAUAUAAAUGUUCAUAGUUGUACUAUUACAAUAGCAAAAACCUGGAAAAAAUCAGAUGUCCAUUGUCAGGAUACUGUAGUAGACUUUCACAGGGGAAUAGUAAACAAGAGUCAAAUGAAUAAACUACAGCUAUUCACAACAAUAUGGAGUUAUUUAAUGUUUCUGAGUCUCUGUUUUGACCUCCUAAAUGAAGACAAUAUCAUUUACCUUAUUAUUUUCUGAAAAUAAAGCAGAUACUGUAGGCAAAAACCCUUAGAAAAUUAUAACUAGUAAAUGUUACUAUAACUAGUUAAUGUCACUUAUUUUCCUCCAUAUUCCCGAUCACUUCUCAGGUUGUACAAGAAUAAUCUGGAAACAUCACACUAAAGAAGAGGAAAGCAGUAUAAUCUGGAGGACUCAAAUUUAGAGUCACACCAAAGGGAUCCAAAUCCCUGAUUCAGCAAUUAUUUUCUGUGUGAACUCAGGUAAAUUAACCUCUCCAAACCUCAGCUUUCCCUCAUGUGAAGUAGGAAUAAAAUUAGUAACUAUUUAAUUGGACUUAAAUGAAGUAACCCCAGUUCUUAUUAGCACACUGCCUGAUACACCAUAAUAAGUGCUCACAUCAGUGAUAGGGUUAUAUUAACAGGGAUCCCUUUUACAUUUGUCAAGUGAACAGAGUUGCUUUCCCCUGCCCUUACCUUCCCCUCAGUCUCAACACAAUACACACACACACACACACACACACACACACACACUCUCUCUCUCUCUCAUGCACAAAUAUAUUUGCUUUGCUUUUUCUUUUCUUGCUCUUCAACUCCUCAUAUCUAUAAUAUAAUUGAGAGCAGUAAAUAAGCACAAUAAUUAGACCCGAGGUUUCUGCCUUGGACAUCAGGCAAUAAAUAGGCACAAUUCAGUCUAAUUAAAGCACCCUUAAAUGUGAAGUUACCCUAAGAACUUUUCUCAGAAUUUCAAUUGAAAGUGAGGUUCAUUUGCAUCUUAUUACUUAAAAGAACUGCAAAUAGGGAAAGGCAACAAUUUCCACAAUCCACAUAGAGUAAUAAAAAGUAUGGGAGUAAUUCUUUAAAUGUAAACCUAAUUGAAACAAAAAUGAUUAAAUGAUUGUAUUUAAAACAAACAUUUAGAAGGACAUGCUUUACAUUUGUUGAAUUUGGUAAACCAGACACCUGCCUGGUCAGGUCACGAGGGAAGAAACUGGGACCUGAAACUAGACCUACCCAUCAGAGAGGAUGGCUCAGUUGCAGGUGCUGGGAGAAUGUCCAGUCUGGCAAGCAGAACAAAGUAUCUGAAGAAUAUGGCAGAACACAAGGAUUGAUAAUGCAGCCAGGAAAUUGGUAUCAGGAGGCAAACAUGAAAGAGCAGAAGUUCACUCAAUACGAAACCACGGCUUGGUGCCAAGAAGCAGCUAAACGUGUCCCAAAUUCAGGCAGGCAGCAUCAGAAAGCCUUAUCUACCAUAGUAGAGCCACAGUCAGACUGUGGAACAGGAGCUGGACCCCGGUGGCUAAGAGAGAGAAAGAAUGGCAAACGUAAGGUUGGGUCUUAGGUGUUCUUAGAGGACCUGGGCAGACCUGGCAAACUUUUAAAACAGGAACUCAAUUCUGGGUAAUGGGAGAAGAAUGCGGGUAUGAGAACUGCAGCAUAAGGUAGAUACUGAAUCCAAGGAACGAGAGACAUACAUGACUCUAGAAAUUACAGCAAAAGCCAAAGGCAGACCGGAAGCCAAACUAGCUUGAUGCUAAGGAAGAAAAGUAUUGGAUUGGAACUCCUUAAAUGCCUCCUCUCCCAGGUAAAGCCUGGCCACAGGGAGCUUAGAAGGCUGAGUGAACAGGCUGAAGUCAUGGUGAGCAGAGAGGUCUGCAGAGACUGGAAACUAGGAAGGACUUGACAAUAACAAGAUCAGGAAAACCAGGCCCAUAGUUCCAAUUUUGUAAUCAAUAUAAUUACCCUGAAACUUUCUAAGCAACAAGUAGCAGCACUCUUAUUUAAAUCAAAUCUCGCACGUAUAAUUAAGAAAAUCCAUGUAUGUUUGUUUUAAUGAAUUUGACCUAUAGUAACAAGAUGGGUUAUUUUUGCUGCUCAGUCCACUGUCCACAGAAGAUGAAAAAUAAAAGUAACCCUUUUCCUAUUUUUCUCUCCUUUUCAUUAGUGUGUAAAUUUAACCUAUGAAAAUGAAUUGCCUUUCUGAAUUUCUUCUCAUCUCUGAAAUACAAAGAUGUCUCUCUCUAAAAAAACAGUAAAUACAUUUUUUAAGUUUUUGUCAUUCUUCUGAGAGCAACAUCUUCUAACAGGGCCCUAAAGCAUUGAACCCUAAUAAUAAAAAUGCAAUAUAAAAGUUAUUAAUGUAUUUAGCACACCACUAUGUGUUACUACCUGCCACAAAGUGACACUCACACACAAAAUGUCUGUCAUACCCAUGGCCCAAUUCACUUUGGAGAAGAAUCACCAAAUAGCCAUCCUUGGAAGUCAAGGAUCUCCUCUUUUGGUAUGAACACUCAUAAGAUGAAGACAGAGUAGUUUCAUAAGCCAAACAUGCCCAUUUCUGUUGUGACAGCCUACCCCUA